rnacentral:lncRNA from 1 species
ACAGGCUUGCACAUGGAGAGAUUAUGAAAAUCACCCCAACUUGAUAUUUUUUCCCCCCAGAAACACAGUUGUACCGGUAAUGAGCACUGUACCGGUAAGCGUUGUACCCAGUAAGUAGGAUUUUCCGUAAGUAGCACUCUAUUUAACAGGAAACGAUUGUCAGAGGAAUUUUUAGAACGAAUAGAAAGCCAGUAGCCCAUGGCAGGUGUGUUACGUAAGAGGGUUUUGUAUAAAGAGGUUUGAGAGAAGGAAUGUGCAUUAUAUAUAUACAAUGUAGUAAGUUAUAGCGAGCACACCCACAGAGGCCGUUAUACUAGGUCCUAGCUCUAUGGUUAUACCAUACCGACUUCAUUGUGGAUCCACAAGCGAGUUACAUAGACGAACGGGAGCGGCAAGCAUUCGUCAUUUCGCAAUGGGCAAAACUGGUUUCAUCCAAGUUAGCUGGUUUUCAAAGCAAAGUUAUCAAGUCUCAGAAGGAUGCAUCAAAACCUAUUUGGCCCGAGUACAAGUAGAGAGAUUGUCUGCAAAGGAAAUCACCAGUUCAAGAUUAGCAGAGGUGUGUUAGGCUGAGAAGGAAUAGAGAGGAGACAUGACAAAAAAAGGAGACAGGAGUCGAGGAGAUCGAAGUCGCCAAAGUCAGCAAAUACUUCAAUAGUUUCAAGAGGUGGCAUCAUUUUCGCAAACGAAUAGACUUUUCUGCUGUGCCAGCCGAACCAUUUUCUCAUUACGCUAUAGCAGCCAUCUUCUGGAUCCAGUGCGCACACGAACUCGAUGGCUGCGAUACUCUGAUGAAUUCACGCGCUGAUUGGUUGGAUUUUGCGUGACCAGUGAACUGCGCCGUCAUCAAGGUCAUGACUCUGCAAGGUUUAACACGGCCGUUAAAGACUGAUUCAUUACUCUUUUAUUCCAGUUUAGUGAUUUUUUUUCUCGUUGAAAAGCGUUAUAAUGUAGGAAAUUCUGUAAACCUUAUCUGUGUAAUAACUGUUACAAUUCCCGUCACUCGAUCGCUCAGGCUCCGUUUCGAAUCACGAACGGUCGGAUUGCAUUUAUGCGACGCUCAAAAUUUUGUCCACAUGGUCCGCAAUGAAACAGAAAUCACAUCCGGUAUGGAAUGUGCGCAAUUCUAUGGGAAGUUUUCGGAUAGCAUUUGCGCACAUUGUCUAACUGGUUCUUGAACAGCUGCAGCCAGAUGCUUUAUAAUAGGUCAUAGGCCACUUCCUUCACAAGAUUCUGUGUAGCUCAUCAGAGUAUCCCAGCGUCCUGUUUGCAGGGCAGGGGGUACGAGCGAAUGAUUUAAUACUGACCAAACCCCAAGGAUGCCUAUAUAAACAAUUUAUGCGAUAUAUAGUAGACAUUCUGUAAGUCUUGCAGUAAUAACGAAUUUGUAAGUAAAGUAUUCGAAGGGUAUUUGUACGCUACAACAAAUAUAAUCUAUAUUUAUUUAAGUUACCGAAUAUGUGUCUAACAUGUCAGCAGCGAAAAUUAUAGAGACAAGCCGAUUUUCCCCGUGUUUGAUUACCCCCCCCCCCCCCGCUCUUCCAAGCGUUACGGCGUUCAGUUAAAAGGGCAUGCAAUGUUGUAUUUAAAAAAUAAAAAUCUCAAAGUGAGGCAGUUCCUGGUGGGCAGCGAAUUUUCUUUCCCCAAACCACAUCCAAACCCUUUACGAUACUUUUAGGAUACGUAAGCAGGUAUAUAAUUAAUUUUUCCACAAUCCCGUUUUUGUACCUGAUUUGUUUUUCUUUUUUAACCUGAGGCUUCGGAUUUUUUUUUUUAAAGGGAAUUUGAGUCCGAACUUCAUUACGUUCGAAUUCAUGAUUUUAGAAAAGUAAAGUUCAAAACGCCAUAGUGUACAUCAUUAUUUGGAUGUCGUUUGUGAGAAAAAAAAUUGCAUAAUGAAUAUUCCUACCGAACCUCAGUUGUAGGUGUGGUUUUAAAGAUUUAUUUAUUUAUUUAUUUAUUUUUUAAAUAAUACCCCCUCACUGGCAAAGGAAGUACAGAUGGGGGUGACCGACCGACGCCAUCUUGCCUGACUGCAAUUCAUUUGCCGCGAAGCGCGGCCCCUGCGUGUAAAACAAAUCCCCUGGUGUACGUGCGUCACACACAAGGAACGGUGCGCGUCAACCAGCGAAACGCCCCGCCCAUGGGACGUCGUUGCUAGGUAAAAGGGCGCCCUCUUUUGGUAGCGCACGGAGCUCAUAGUUGGUUAUAGCGAGCACAGGUUAUUGAAAUAAUGUAUGUGUGUUUAUGAAUCCUUAUGAAUGUUUUAAUAUUUUUGUCGGAGGGCGAUGAUUGUUCAGAUUAAUGAUAUUUUCUUUUUAUCUAAUUCCCCCAACCCAGAAGUUGUUUUCUCAAAUGAAAGUGUAAUUAAACAUUUGAAAGAUGUUUUCUUCAGUAAAACAAGCUAGAUAACAGCCGGAUAAAAGAAUCACUGUUAAAUAUUGUAUUCAGUAUUUCCGAUUUUUUUUAAAUUUUGACAAUAUCAUUACAUUGUGAUUUCUCUACGUUUUUUUUGGGCUCAAUCAGUAUAUCACGUUGAUCAGCUGGAUAUGUACUGAUGUCAAAAUUAAAGAAAUAAAAGGCGCCACACAAAUAUAUAAAAGCAUGGUAAAUAAUACUACAUGUCCUUAGGUUUUAUGUCAUUUGUUUCCAUUCCCCUGUACAUCUGAAUGGAAAAAGGGACAUCAAAUAUUUUAACAGGACAUGAAGUAUUAUUUACCAUGCUUUUUUAUAUUUGUGUGACGCCUUUUAUUUCUUCAAUUUUGACAUUAUCAGUUCAUAUCCAGCUGAUCAAUAUAUAUUUUUAUUAAGAUAUUUGAGUGUCGGAACAGAUAAGACUGCGAAUUUCAAAUUACGUAGGUAAUCUUUGUUGUUUAAUAAUGUGGCCUUUUAGGUGUUUUUUUUUAGUUGCGGGUGAGCAGCUCCACGAGUAGCCAUGGCUCUCGUUGGUUGGUAACAAACUUCACGAAAUGCUUUUCAAACAACACGUGACUCUUGUUCAUGGCCCUACAUUGUGACAGUUGCAUCUAGCUAUUAAUUUAUUGCACUUGUGAAAAACUGGGUCAUUAGAGUAAAAAAACCCAGAUGUUUGAACUAAAAACACAUUUGGACUGCCACUUUUUACUGCACACAAAUGUAGUGUUCCGUAGCAUAUAGCUAUAAAAGUCUCCAUGGAGCGUUUUAUAGCUUUUUUAAAAAUUAAUAUAUUUAUUUAAUACUGUAAAAUAGGAAUUGUCAAUUGACAAUCACAACCACGUGAGUAGUAGGGCAUUAUAAAAACAGACUUUUACAUCAUGUAUUUACAUAACAUGAUUUACGGUCUUACAAUUUGGCCGCAGCUUCCGAGAUCAUUUCGAGCCGUUUGUACAGUUUUUAUAAAUGUUAUAUUCUACAUUUCUUUCAACUGAUAGCAAUUGAUACUCCCAUAGUAUAAGUGAUCUUAUACAAUGGUAAUUAAUACAUGUAUUAUAAUGAUCUAAAAAUACUUAUUAAUACCAAUUAAUGACCUAAUGGCUCUAUUUACCUUUGCGCUUUCAUAGAGGGGCUAACUUAUUGCGGCGGUAAUUUCAUUUAUUUUAAUCAACACUGAAUUUGUCUAGAAUUUUCGGUUAUGUUCAUUAUAACGGGUUUCCAUAUUGUUUUCGUGCAGACACGAUUUUGGUUGUACAAUGAUGGUUCGUUUAAUUCACUUUUUAGUAAGAAUUCUUCUUUCUUUUUCAAUUGGUUGCAAAUUAAAUUGAAAGGCAAACGAAGCGUAAAGGA